GACGAACGCUGGCGGCGUGCUUAACACAUGCAAGUCGAACGGAAAGGCCCUGCUUUUGUUGGGUGCUCGAGUGGCGAACGGGUGAGUAACACGUGAGUAACCUGCCCUUGACCUUGGGAUAACUUCAGGAAACUGGGGCUAAUACCGGAUAGGAGCUCCUGCUGCAUGGUGGGGGUUGGAAAGUUUCGGCGGCUGGGGUUGGACUCGCGGCUUAUCAGCUUGUUGGUGGGGUAGUGGCUUACCAACGCUUUGACGGGUAGCCGGCCUGAGAGGGUGACAGGCCACAGUGGGACUGAGAUACGGCCCAGACUGCUACGGGAGGAAGCAGUGGAAAAUAGUGCACAAUGGGCGGAAGCCGGAAGCAGCAACGCCGCGUGCGAGAUGACGGCCGUCAGGUUGUAAACCGCUUGCGCCUGUGACGAAGCGAGAGUGACGGUAAUGGGUAAAGAAGCAACGGCUAACUACGUG
rnacentral:rRNA from 1 species